rnacentral:lncRNA from 1 species
UAAUAAUAAUAUUAAAAGAGCAGCAAUAUGAAGAUAAAAAGAAGUGAAAGCCUCUAGCAACAAAUCAAUAAAAUUGCCACAACUCAUAUCAAAUAUUCAACACCAAUAUGUACUCAUGGACCACAUUCACAUGUCUAUGAUGAAAAAAAUUAAAAAAUUAAAAAAUUAAAAUUACAAGUAUAGUAGUUUUGAGAGUGCAAGAAUCAUAAUUUUACACACUUCUUUUAAUGAAGGAUCCAGAUCUUUGUUAUUCUUCUUUCAUUGCUAAUAAAAAUUUAAAAAUAAAAUAAAACAGAAAAAAGAAAAGAAAAGAAAAGAAAAUUUUACUAAGUGUGUUUUUUUUUUUUUUUUUUUUUUGAAAUUGAUAUCAUUGUAUUUAAUUGACAAAAAUAAUCAACUUCUAUUAUUUCACAUUUGGGUUCAUGUCCAAAAGACCCACAAAUCUAUGUUAACGGUCAUGAAAUCACGUUUGAAGCACAAAAAAUUUCAAUAAUUUCAAAAAAAAGGAAGCUUGUUGAAAAUUGUGCUCAUUUUUGGUCCACCACACUUGAUAUAUUAUUUAGGUUUUUAUUGUUUUAUGUUUUAUAUGAUCAGAUCAAGGAUCCGGAGCUUCAACAAAUGAUUUAAUUGGCUUCAGGACACAAGAUCUCUAUCUCUUUAAAUUAGUGCCUUUCAUCAUCUCCACAAAACAUGGUACGAGUUGCUUUUGCGGUCAAACAUGAUAUUGUUUUAAUUCCGAAGGCAUUUUCUUAGAAUGUCUUGUGUUGACAUUGGACUCAUAAGAACAUGAUGCCUCUUUGCCAUUUGUGGUUUUGUAAAUUUGUAAUGUUGCUUGGUCUAGUAUGUUUGUUGUUUCCAUCCAAAAAAAUCCUUUUAAAUGUGUUGAAACCAAAGUUGAACUUUGACCAACUCUCACAAUAUAGGUUGUCUUUCUAAUGAAAACCCUGAUUAAACUAUGCCUAAAAUGUAUAUCUAUCUAUCUCUCUCUCUCUCUAUAUAUAUACAUAUGCUCUUGUGACUCAACAUACUAAAUAUAUAGUUAUUUCAUUCUUAUCAUAUCAUUGGCUAUUAAUUUAUGGGUUAAUGAAGACUUGGCAUUAUAUGUUACUUUGUAUCAUUCCCAUUUUUUGAAAAAUGAGGUGAGAGGUUGGAAAUACAUGGAUGCAUUAAGGACUUCUAGUUAUACAUCUCUUUGUAGACAUGAAUAGUGUAAUUUUAAAAAUAUGUGAAAAAUCAUUUAUUUGUUUGAUUCUUUGGUUGAUUGUGAGAUGUAAAUGUUCAGCAGUCUAUUUUUGAUUUAACAAAUUAGUUUGAGUUAAACAAGGACAAUACUCUGAUAAUCUACUAAUCUAGUUAAAUUCAAUAAUGGUACGUUUUCUAAAAGUUACAUAUAUAGAACUACUUUAAAAUUAAAACUAUUUCUAUGCCAUCCAUUUUUUUGAUUUUUUAUUUGGUUUUUUAAAGGUUUUGAUUAAUAAAGUUUUUUGCAAAGUAAUUUUUAUUCAACUGUCUUAUGUUCUUUAUUUCUCAAAGCUAAUUGAUAAUAAAAUUUAACUUUAAUUUUCCUUCUAAGCCACAAUUGGUUUUAUUCAUAAUAUUACUAAUUUAUUUAAGGAUUUUAAUUGAACAUGAAAAUUUAAUCAUCUAUUGCACAAUAUAAUAUCCCGAACACACUAAAAAAGAAAUUAUUAUUUUUAUUUAUUCAUUUUAUUGAAGAAU